rnacentral:rRNA from 1 species
GGCGAUCAGAUACCGCCCUAGUUCUGACCGUAAACGAUGCCAACUAGCGAUCCGCCAGUCGACUCAUCGCUCUGGUGGGGAGCUUCCCGGAAACGAAAGUCUUCCGGUUCCGGGGGAAGUAUGGUUGCAAAGCUGAAACUUAAAGGAAUUGACGGAAGGGCACCACCAGGAGUGGAGCCUGCGGCUUAAUUUGACUCAACACGGGGAAACUCACCCGGCCCGGACACCGUAAGGAUUGACAGAUUGAUAGCUUUUUCAUGAUUCGGUGGAUGGUGGUGCAUGGCCGUUCUUAGUUCGUGGAGCGAUUUGUCUGGUUUAUUCCGAUAACGAGCGAGACUCUGGCCUACUAAAUAGUUGGCACAUUGCCACUGUGCGCACAACUUCUUAGAGGGAUUUUCGGUGUUUUCAACCGCACGAAAUUGAGCAAUAACAGGUCUGUGAUGCCCUUAGAUGUCCGGGGCUGCACGCGCGCUACACUGGCAAACGCAACGUGCCUGUCCUGCCCCGAAAGGAGCGGGUAAACCCCUGAAAUUUUGCCGUGAUUGGGAUCGGACAUUGCAACUAUUGUCCGUGAACGAGGAAUUCCUUGUAGGGGCGAGUCAUCAACUCGUCCCGAAUACGUCCCUGCCCUUGUA